GGGAAGGAGCGAGCGUGAGAGAAAACAUCACGAAGUCGAAAAACCAAGAUAAAAUAUCAGCAGUGUGUUAAGACCCCAACACUAUUUUACCUAAUUUCACUUAAUUAGGUUGCACGUUAGUGAGUCUGUGUGUAUUUUUAAAGUCUGUGAGUUACUUAAAAAUGCUUAGCUGUUGGCCGCUAUGCUAGCCGAAGUAACGAUGCUAACCGCAUAGCUAGGCUGCUAACAAUAGUUUCUAGAAGUUAAUUUAUGUGGCUACUAAAAAAAGUGACCCAAGAAUGAGUGUGAGCUUGGACCCAACACAGUAUUCAAGUUCAGAUGGGCCCCACGGUGACCAGGAAAGCUGUGUGGGCUCUCAGAUGAAGACACCCGUUGGACUGAUGAGAUGUUAGAUAGCGCCAUUUGUGACCAGAAAAGCCCUUGGGUGCCUCUGAGGAAGAUUUCAGCCUGCUGUCACCUUCUACUCUCCGACACAAGUCGUCUCUCCAGGACAGUAACAGAACUGCGGUGUGAUGGCGCUGCAGCAGAGAGAGAAAGAUCUGGGUGACCAUCUGAAACCAAUUAUGGCGCCGCUGCAGCCACCCAGAAACUCAGUGACGGAUGGGGAUCUUGUAUUUAUAGCUGGGGCUUUAUCUCCAUUCUACGAUCCAAGACCAAGCUGCCUGGAGUCCCAUGGGUGAUCUGCCCUGUCCCCUCUAAUCUGGCCGAGCUGCUGCGAUUCCAUCACUCCCGGCGAACCACACAGAAAGAUUAGUCAGACUCUACGUACAACAGAUGUGUCCAACACUUGAUUUGUGUGUGUUUUAUUGACUCUGGCCAUCUGUUAAUACAGUUGCUGGUUCCUCCUCAUGUGUUUGUUGAUGCACACAGACAGGGGAGCUGAGUGCCAGAAGAAACAUUCAGCAAAGGAGAGAUGAGAGAGAGAUAGAAGGACAGAGAGAGAGAAUGGAUUUAGAGG